CCGUCUCAAAAAAAGAAAACAAAAAAAAAAUUAUGCUUGUCCUUAAAAUUAUGUGCAGAAGUUUACUGAAAAGUACAAGUUACUAUUUUUGCUUCUGAAGCACUCCUCAAGGUAAACCCUGUUAGUUUAACAGGUAACCUUAAAAUGCUUGACACAUACUUGUUGAAUGAGUAAGUGCCCUCGGUGAAUUUCCUUUGCCUGUACAAUCAUAUGUCUGUACCUUUUUAACAGUACACUUGUAUCAUUUAACAGCUGCGUGCGUGGUAUGGUACUCUAUCUGAUGGUUGUACUUAACCGCCCUGCUAUUAAUAGACACUCAUGUUGUUUAUAUUUUUUGGUUAUUAUAAACAUUGUUGCUGGGGGGAUCAUUGAACAACACACGGAGUGUCUGAUUCAAGCCUUGAGUUGUUUUUCCGGGAGCUGAGAAUCAGUGUGGUGAUGUCUAAAGAGCAUGAGCUUGGAAUCUGAAGGUACUGGCUAGGGAGAAGAGCUGCUCAUGUGCUCCUGCUAAUAGAAAAGUCCCCCUUGGUCUGGAAGGUUGGGGCCAUCCUCUGACUCAGCAGCUUUAGGAAUUAUAGGGUGAGAAGGAAGUCACCCAGCCCUGACCAGCCAGCGAGGCAGUAGGUCCUCCCAGCUCAUCUUCACAGCCUUGGCUGGAGUCAGGAAGACUGGUUUCAAUGUUAAGAUUGGAAUCCUAGCCUCCAUCCCUUAAAACCUUUGUGAUCUUAGAUAAGUCACAUCAUACUAUCUCAGAGCCCCUGUUUCCUCACAGAACGGUUGUUUUAGAGGUAUGUUCGUAAAUUACCUGGCACAUGUAGGCAUGAGACUGACCGUAACCAAUGUUACUCAAGGUCAUUUUGCACUGACUCAUUCAUACUUUGAGCCAUUUCCUAUUAUAGACUAUAGCACACAUUUCCAACUUCCUAAUAGGGCUGCAGGGUAUUUUUGGGAAAUAAAUCAAAAUUGACCAUUAAAACCAGAUUCCUGACUUUGCCUGGAUAUGCCAUCUGGAAAGCAAUCAGCAUGAAUUCUUCAUUUAUUUGGUAACUGUUUAAUGAGUGCUUAUGUGCCACAGAUUGCAGAGGCCUUUUCCCUCCAGUUUACAGCCUUAUCAGUUAAGACAUACUCAUGAGGAAAUUGAAAAUAUAGGACAAUGCAGAUAGAAAGCUGUCAAAUACACAGUCUAGACUUCAGAGGAGGAAAGCUAUCACUUUUAGCUGUAAUGAUGGGGAGAAGAUUUCAUCAUAAAGAUUUCAUGAUGGCACUGGAAUAUGAGAGCUUUGAGUGUCUAUUUUUAGACAGCUGCUGUCACAGCCUAUGAGAAUCCUCAAUUUUGGCUCGGAAGGGGAAAUCCCUGCAGGUCAGGGUUAUGUGCCUGGCAUCUCCAAAUGAAUCAGCACAUUUUCCUCCAGAAUCAUUGUUACAGAUUUAUUUAAACUGCAGUUGGAUGGUGAGUUAUGUUAAACUGUCUCUCUCCUUCUCACCAUAUAGGUAUGUAAACUUUUGUGACCUAAAGUAUCACUGUGUCCUGUGAUUGGAAACUGUUUCACCGCUCUGAACAGGUAACUUAGAGAUGAACUUUUAUACCACCACCUGUGUGCACGUUAGAAACUAUUAACAAUGAGGAGGCAUUGAAAGUUUUUGAGCAGAGAAGCAAUCUCAAAAUACUAUUUUAGCGAAGUAAUCUAACAGGAGUAUGCAGGAUGGAUUUCAGCUGCAGAGCUUUAAAGGUUAUUGCUGAAGCCUGGGUGUAAGGUAACAACGGACAGAUGCAAAAGGCAAUACGCAAACAGUAUAACCAGACAAAGCAGAUUCAAAAAAGAAAUCAUGUAAUUUACCUGGUAACUAAAUUCAUCCCUUAAUUCAGUAAAUAUUUGCACAGUUACUGUGCUGGACCUGGAGGCUGUAACAUGAACAAAACCAAGCUCCUGUCCUCAUGGCAUUUACAGUUUAGUGGCGGAACAAGUCAUUCAUUUGACAAAUAUUUGAUGACCUACUGCAUGCCAGACAUUGAUCUAGGAGCUGAGGAUUCAGCAGUAAGUAACAUUUUAAAAUGUUAAAAGCUUUCUUAGCACUUCCAUUCUGAUGGGGAAUAUAGGCAACAAGUAUGUCCAAGGAGAAAACUAAAGCAGGACACACUGAGGUUUGCAGAAGCAGACAGUGAAGCCAUGGGGGCGGCAGGAGGUUUGACGGUGAAUUAAAAGAGAAACGGUGAAACUGAUGAACUAUUUUUCAGGAUAGUGGAAGUAGAGGAUUAGCAGCCAGGGAAUAAUAAUGAGUGAAUAUUCAGAGGGAGGAUGGCUAAGUGCACUUCAAAGAGCUUAACUCUUGACAACAGCUGGGAAGUAAGGUGUCACCAACUGGAAGGCAAAGUGGGUAAAGGAGAGGGGGACCUCAAGGGCAGUAGUCAGGGAUGAAGGUCAGUGCAGCGGAGGUUGCAGGGACCCGUGAAAUCCAGAUUUCGGUCAGCAACAUGGAUUUCAAAGCUGCUAAGUGCUAGGUGGCAAGGGAGGGAAAGUGUGCUGUGAUCACCCAGGAAGGUAGCAGUAGGUGGUGAAUCAGAAUUCAGAGAAGGCAGGUAAACUGACCAACGGACCUUAAAUUAGGAGCCAGAUGGGGUACCACUCAGCAUACUGAUCCAAGAGGGAAGGAGAGGCUACAGCGCCUGAUCUCUGAUGGAAGUGGAAACGCGCCCUUUCCCCCACAACUGCAAGCCUGAUGCCACACCAAGAGACUUGGCAAUGGGCCUUGUACUGCCCUUAUGUGGCCCCCAGAAAUCUAAUGAACACAAGUUCCAUGAUUCCAGGGACCAUAUCUUCAUCUUCGUGUCCUCUGGAGGCCCAGUACAUGCUGAUCGACGGAGGGGAACACAUUCGCAGACAGCCUGAUGGACACAUGCCCUUGGCAGCUGGGAGGAUGCUGCUGACCAUCUGAAUCCCAGAGGCAGAGAACAGUUACCAUGGCUACUAAAAGUUGUAGCCAUUGGCUGUUUUGGCUACGAGGACUCAGCUGACCUCUCAAGGUCCCUUCCAGCCCUGGGAUUCUACAAUUACCUCGAGCCAGCUGACACCAUGUCUGCUGCAAGAAAACAGGACUCAGAAGUACCUUAGAGGUCACCUUGUCUUACUCAUCAGAAGUGUUGCAUCACAAGCCUACUUUCUACCAUGGCUGCAUUAUUAAUAACCAAAGUCUUGCUUUUUUUGGCAUAGCAUUUUUAUACCUUUCCUAAAGUGAGUUUGCAUCACUUUUUAUUUCCUUUUACAGCUCAGGCCAGUAAUUGUGACAGAGGUUUGUCCUGUAUUGUGGCCAGGGAACAGACCAGAAAAACUUGCGUCACUAGCCCCAGUAGGGUGUGUGCCAUCAGACAGAAUGCGUGUGUCAGGAGCCUUCUAAGAAUCAGGAGGAAGGAAGUCAUUCAUAAAGGAGGCAGAUGCUGAAAUGCAACUUUGGUUUCCUCUUGCAAGUCCUUCAACUAUAGGAAUGUGGCUCUUUCUUAUUCACAUAGGGGCUGGAUUUCUCUUUACAACCUGAGUACCAGAAGCUCCCUACCUUUACAAAGUCAGAACAGAACAGGAAAGCGGCUAAUUCAACCUUUUCAUUGUCCACACCAAGGGAGAUCACAGGCCUGGCUGCAUGUCUCUCAAAACUCCACCUCAGGACAGAGAAGUCUGGAGAGAUUGCUAAGACUUCUGAAAGCAGGGGAAGAGGGAUGCCCAAAACUCAGAGAACUGUGAAUACUUACAAAAACAGCUGCAAACCUUCCCUUAUUCCUGAUGCAGGAAGCUUCAUAUUUAAUGGCUGGAGAUUUUUAAAAAUCUGCUUCUAUCAAGAUUAAAUCAAAGCCUUUAUUCAACAUUCCUCUUUCAAACAGCCUGCACGUAAACCUAUACCCCUUCCUGGACUUGGGAACUGCCAGACUUGUGGAUCAUUUUCAUCUGACGGGUCAGAUCCAACCAGGCCUCACAAUAUUGAAAAGCCAAGCCAAGACACACCACACUGGGCAGACGUCCGCCAUCUGUGCCCCACUCAAGACCUAGGCAAAAGGUUGGUAGUGCCAGCUCUCAAACCAGAGCUCAAGCACAGAAGAGGAACCCGAAGUCUGACCCUGCUAUUCUAGCUCCAGACCUAGCCAUGCUAAACUGGACAGACAGUUCCUGGGCUGCCAUUCGCUGAGGCGCAUGCGUGUGCUUUUCCUUCUCUUCUCCACAGGAAAAGGUAAGAGAUGGAGGAGGCAAUUUUCAGUUGUGUGUGGGUUUGAUUUAAGGCUUUGGCUGUGGUCUGCUGAUAUAUUAAAAUACUUUCUGGGAACGCCAUCUUCCAAGCUCCCCAUUGGAACAAAUGUAUUUUCAAAAAUGAAAACAUUGAGCAAAGAUGUGGAGCGGCAAUGCUGCAGGCCCGGGCCCUCAUGUCAGGAUGGUGUCGUCCACCUGCUCCGUGGAGUCGGCCUGGCUGGCCAGCUUCUUCAGGGACCUUCGGUUAACCUCGUUCAGCAACUCCAAACUGGCCACAUCCAGGAUCUUGGAGAGGGACUACAGGGAAGGAUGAGCAGGAGGAAACAUGGUCAGAAAAUAUAGCUGCCACAUUCUCCAAUCAGAGAAAGACAAAAAUGAACGUUAACCCCAGAACUAGACACUGAGGUGGAAUUUGGCAAAAUAAGGGAAUCAGAUGGAUCCAGGGAAAGCCUGUGAAAACACUCAUCAUGCUUUUGCUUUUCCCUUUUUUGUAGAGACAAGGUCUCACUAUGUUGCCCCAGCUGGUCCUGAACUCCUGGGCUCCAGUGAUCCUCCCACCUCUGCUUCCCAAAGUAUUGGGAUUACAGGUUAGAGUCACUUUACCCGGCCCCAUCCUGCUCUUCAUGAGACGUGGCAGUGCGAAUUGCAGCUUUUGGGCUUUCAAGGCUGCUAGGGGCUGGGGACUUAGUGAAAAGGCCUCUGGGUUUCCAUUGGGCAGCUCUCCUUGGAAAUGCUCCAUCUGUUUGGAUGUCAUGUGAGAUUUUAUUUGAAUAAAGGGCCCUGCUCUGGAAAAAAGUCUGAAAA